ACAAUCAAGAAGGUCCUUAGUUGUAGUUUGAUGUCUUGCUUGGGUCCCUGCAGUUAAAACAAGAUGCCUCUCCCUAGGUUACUAUGAAACCCAGCAACUCGACCUCCCGUAAGGAGAUCUGGGCUUUCAGAGGAGAAGCUGUGUUUCUAUAUGAUGUCAAUUUUUGAAGAGUUUGGACAGUGUUUGAGCUGAAAAUAGAAUUCUCCUGAGAGCUUUCCAGGGAGACUUCUCAUGGGAGGAGAUGCUUGGGGGUCCCAGUUGUUGCAGUCAUGACGAUUUCAAUAUCCACAAUAUUGUCGCUAUACACUGCGUUGACAAAGCCUUGGUGAUAUCCUCGGUCCCAGCUGCUGCUGACUGAAAGACCUGGAAAGGCCCAUCUACUGGGGCUUGGAACUGAAGAAAUUGAUGGCCAAAAAAUCAUGCAAGGAUGAGGAUGUAGACAAAGAAGACCCAAUAUCGAAGCAAGGGCGGGCUUCCUCCUGCCAUGAUGGCUUGUCCCAGUUCCAGAAGCACAGACACCUGACCAGCAACUGAAACCUUUGAGACAACCGGGAGCCACACAAUGGAAAGCUCGGCUUCUAAAUCAGAGCUCCG
rnacentral:lncRNA from 1 species